rnacentral:rRNA from 1 species
UGCCAGCCGCCGCGGUAAUACGGGGGGUGCAAGCGUUAAUCGGAAUUACUGGGCGUAAAGCGCGCGUAGGCGGUUUGUUAAGUCAGAUGUGAAGCCCUGGGCUCAACCUCGGAACUGCAUUUGAAACUGGAAGUCUGGAGUUCAGGAGAGGUUAGCGGAAUACCGAGUGUAGAGGUGAAAUUCGUAGAUAUUCGGUGGAACACCAGUGGCGAAGGCGGCUAACUGGACUGAUACUGACGCUGAGGUGCGAAAGCGUGGGGAGCAAACAGGAUUAGAUA